AUUGAACGCUGGCGGCAGGCCUAACACAUGCAAGUCGAGCGGGGUUUUCGGACCUAGCGGCGGACGGGUGAGUAAUGCGUAGGAAGCUGCCCGAUAGAGGGGGAUACCAGUUGGAAACGACUGUUAAUACCGCAUAAUGUCUACGGACCAAAGUGUGGGACCUUCGGGCCACAUGCUAUCGGAUGCGCCUACGUGGGAUUAGCUAGUUGGUGAGGUAAUGGCUCACCAAGGCGACGAUCUCUAGCUGGUUUGAGAGGAUGAUCAGCCACACUGGAACUGAGACACGGUCCAGACUCCUACGGGAGGCAGAAGUGGGGAAUAUUGGACAAUGGGCGCAAGCCUGAUCCAGCCAUGCCGCGUGUGUGAAGAAGGCCUUCGGGUUGUAAAGCACUUUCAGCGAGGAGGAAGGGGUGUGUGUUAAUAGUACACACCUUUGACGUUACUCGCAGAAGAAGCACCGGCUAACUCUGUGCCAGCAGCCGCGGUAAUAC
rnacentral:rRNA from 1 species